rnacentral:lncRNA from 1 species
AUGUCAGUGUCCCUCCUCCUGAUAGACGCCAGAAUAAGUUGCUUCUGUGUCGUAAGAAGGCCCGUCUCAAACUUGAAGGAUGGUGGCCAGGUGUGCUGUCAAGGGUGUACCACUGGAAACAUUAGCUCGAGUGGCUGGCAUCGUGGAACUCUGCAUCUCCCACAUCCUCAUCUGAGGAUCCAGUUGGCUGGGCUUAUAGGGUCAGAAUCUUGGAACAUGAAAAGCAUGAAUUUUCACGGAUUUAAUUCCUGUAUUCCAGUCCUGACUCAGGCGCCAGUUGGUUAAGAUGUGACUUUAGAGACUACAUUUCAUUGUUCUGAAAAUCUCUUACUAUUUGUAAAAUAAGGCUUUUAAUUACGUAAUUUUUU